UUAAGCGACUAAGCGUACACGGUGGAUGCCCUGGCAGUCAGAGGCGAUGAAGGGCGUGCUAAUCUGCGAUAAGCGCCGGUAAGGUGAUAUGAACCGUUAUAACCGGCGAUACCCGAAUGGGGAAACCCAGUGUGAUUCGUCACACUAUCAUUAACUGAAUCCAUAGGUUAAUGAGGCGAACCGGGGGAACUGAAACAUCUAAGUACCCCGAGGAAAAGAAAUCAACCGAGAUUCCCCCAGUAGCGGCGAGCGAACGGGGAGGAGCCCAGAGCCUGAAUCAGCAUGUGUGUUAGUGGAAGCGUCUGGAAAGGCGCGCGAUACAGGGUGACAGCCCCGUACACAAAAGCGCAUGUGCUGUGAGCUCGAUGAGUAGGGCGGGACACGUGGUAUCCUGUCUGAAUAUGGGGGGACCAUCCUCCAAGGCUAAAUACUCCUGACUGACCGAUAGUGAACCAGUACCGUGAGGGAAAGGCGAAAAGAACCCCGGCGAGGGGAGUGAAAAAGAACCUGAAACCGUGUACGUACAAGCAGUGGGAGCCCCACCACUAAGCCAGUGGUGAACUCCACAUACGCAUCCUUUGCUGAGGAUACGGUUAACGGAGCGAAAGCGACGUUCAACCGCAAAACAAGCAGAGGGGGCUUAGUGGUGGGGUGACUGCGUACCUUUUGUAUAAUGGGUCAGCGACUUAUAUUCUGUAGCAAGGUUAACCGAAUAGGGGAGCCGUAGGGAAACCGAGUCUUAACCGGGCGUUAAGUUGCAGGGUAUAGACCCGAAACCCGGUGAUCUAGCCAUGGGCAGGUUGAAGGUUGGGUAACACUAACUGGAGGACCGAACCGACUAAUGUUGAAAAAUUAGCGGAUGACCUGUGGCUGGGGGUGAAAGGCCAAUCAAACCGGGAGAUAGCUGGUUCUCCCCGAAAGCUAUUUAGGUAGCGCCUCGUGAAUUCAUCUCCGGGGGUAGAGCACUGUUUCGGCUAGGGGGCCAUCCCGGCUUACCAACCCGAUGCAAACUGCGAAUACCGGAGAAUGUUAUCACGGGAGACACACGGCGGGUGCUAACGUCCGUCGUGAAGAGGGAAACAACCCAGACCGCCAGCUAAGGUCCCAAAGUCAUGGUUAAGUGGGAAACGAUGUGGGAAGGCCCAGACAGCCAGGAUGUUGGCUUAGAAGCAGCCAUCAUUUAAAGAAAGCGUAAUAGCUCACUGGUCGAGUCGGCCUGCGCGGAAGAUGUAACGGGGCUAAACCAUGCACCGAAGCUGCGGCAGCGAACGUAUCACUUAAAGCGAUUCAGCGGGUUACGAUUGACGGAGCGAAGCGACGUCAAAGCGUAUACAAAGUCGAGUCGGUUUAAGGAUACGUUCGUUGGGUAGGGGAGCGUUCUGUAAGCCUGCGAAGGUGGCCUGUGAGGGUUGCUGGAGGUAUCAGAAGUGCGAAUGCUGACAUAAGUAACGAUAAAGCGGGUGAAAAGCCCGCUCGCCGGAAGACCAAGGGUUCCUGUCCAACGUUAAUCGGGGCAGGGUGAGUCGACCCCUAAGGCGAGGCCGAAAGGCGUAGUCGAUGGGAAACGGGUUAAUAUUCCCGUACUUGGUGUUACUGCGAAGGGGGGACGGAGAAGGCUAUGUUGGCCGGGCGACGGUUGUCCCGGUUUAAGCGUGUAGGUGUGUGUUCCAGGUAAAUCCGGUUCACUUUAACACUGAGGCGUGACGACGAGGCACUACGGUGCUGAAGCAACAAAUGCCCUGCUUCCAGGAAAAGCCUCUAAGCAUCAGGUAACAUCAAAUCGUACCCCAAACCGACACAGGUGGUCAGGUAGAGAAUACCAAGGCGCUUGAGAGAACUCGGGUGAAGGAACUAGGCAAAAUGGUGCCGUAACUUCGGGAGAAGGCACGCUGAUAUGUAGGUGAAGCGGUUUACCCGUGGAGCUGAAAUCAGUCGAAGAUACCAGCUGGCUGCAACUGUUUAUUAAAAACACAGCACUGUGCAAACACGAAAGUGGACGUAUACGGUGUGACGCCUGCCCGGUGCCGGAAGGUUAAUUGAUGGGGUCAGCGCAAGCGAAGCUCCUGAUCGAAGCCCCGGUAAACGGCGGCCGUAACUAUAACGGUCCUAAGGUAGCGAAAUUCCUUGUCGGGUAAGUUCCGACCUGCACGAAUGGCGUAAUGAUGGCCAGGCUGUCUCCACCCGAGACUCAGUGAAAUUGAACUCGCUGUGAAGAUGCAGUGUACCCGCGGCAAGACGGAAAGACCCCGUGAACCUUUACUAUAGCUUGACACUGAACAUUGAGCCUUGAUGUGUAGGAUAGGUGGGAGGCUUUGAAGUGUGGACGCCAGUCUGCAUGGAGCCGACCUUGAAAUACCACCCUUUAAUGUUUGAUGUUCUAACGUGGACCCGUAAUCCGGGUUGCGGACAGUGUCUGGUGGGUAGUUUGACUGGGGCGGUCUCCUCCUAAAGAGUAACGGAGGAGCACGAAGGUUGGCUAAUCCUGGUCGGACAUCAGGAGGUUAGUGCAAUGGCAUAAGCCAGCUUGACUGCGAGCGUGACGGCGCGAGCAGGUGCGAAAGCAGGUCAUAGUGAUCCGGUGGUUCUGAAUGGAAGGGCCAUCGCUCAACGGAUAAAAGGUACUCCGGGGAUAACAGGCUGAUACCGCCCAAGAGUUCAUAUCGACGGCGGUGUUUGGCACCUCGAUGUCGGCUCAUCACAUCCUGGGGCUGAAGUAGGUCCCAAGGGUAUGGCUGUUCGCCAUUUAAAGUGGUACGCGAGCUGGGUUUAGAACGUCGUGAGACAGUUCGGUCCCUAUCUGCCGUGGGCGCUGGAGAACUGAGGGGGGCUGCUCCUAGUACGAGAGGACCGGAGUGGACGCAUCACUGGUGUUCGGGUUGUCAUGCCAAUGGCACUGCCCGGUAGCUAAAUGCGGAAGAGAUAAGUGCUGAAAGCAUCUAAGCACGAAACUUGCCCCGAGAUGAGUUCUCCCUGAGACUUAGAGUCUCCUGAAGGAACGUUGAAGACGACGACGUUGAUAGGCCGGGUGUGUAAGCGCAGCGAUGCGUUGAGCUAACCGGUACUAAUGAACCGUGAGGCUUAACCUU
rnacentral:rRNA from 1 species